rnacentral:rRNA from 1 species
UACGGAGGGUGCAAGCGUUGUCCGGAUUUAUUGGGUUUAAAGGGUGCGUAGGCGGCUUUUUAAGUCAGCGGUGAAAUACUUCAGCUUAACUGGAGGACUGCCGUUGAUACUGGAAGGCUUGAGUACUGAUGAAGUGGGCGGAAUUGAAGGUGUAGCGGUGAAAUGCAUAGAUAUCUUCAAGAACACCGAUUGCGAAGGCAGCUCACUAAGGAGUAACUGACGCUGAGGCACGAAAGCGUGGGUAGCAAACAGG